rnacentral:rRNA from 1 species
AUUGAACGCUGGCGGCAUGCCUUACACAUGCAAGUCGAACGGCAGCACGGGUGCUUGCACCUGGUGGCGAGUGGCGAACGGGUGAGUAAUACAUCGGAACGUACCUUAUCGUGGGGGAUAACGCAGCGAAAGCUGUGCUAAUACCGCAUACGCCCUGAGGGGGAAAGCGGGGGAUCGCAAGACCUCGCGCGAUUAGAGCGGCCGAUGCCUGAUUAGCUUGUUGGUGGGGUAAAAGCCCACCAAGGCGACGACCAGUAGCUGGUCUGAGAGGACGAUCAGCCACACUGGGACUGAGACACGGCCCAGACUCCUACGGGAGGCAGCAGUGGGGAAUUUUGGACAAUGGGGGCAACCCUGAUCCAGCAAUGCCGCGUGAGUGAAGAAGGCCUCCGGGUUGUAAAGCUCUUUUGUCAGGGAAGAAACACCGGCUCUAACACAGUCCGGGAAUGACGGUACCUGAAGAAUAAGCACCGGCUAACUACGUGCCAGCAGCCGCGGUAA